rnacentral:rRNA from 1 species
AGAGUUUGAUCGUGGCUCAGGAUGAACGCUAGCGGCGCGCUUAAUGCAUGCAAGUCGAGCGAUGAGGCCCUUCGGGGCUAUCAGCGGCAGACGGGUGAGUAACACGUGGGUGACCUGCCCCGAAGACGAGGAUAACGGAUGGAAACAUGCGCUAAUACUCGAUAGACUCUUGAUGUCGCAGUCAAGAGUAAAGCUCCGGCGCUUCGGGAGGGGCCCGCGGCCUAUCAGCUUGUUGGUAGGGUAACGGCCUACCAAGGCAACGACGGGUAGGGGGUGUGAGAGCACGGCCCCCCACAAUGGGACUGAGAGACGGCCCAUACUCCUACGGGAGGCAGCAGCAGGGAAUAUUGCGCAAAGGACGAAAGUCUGACGCAGCGACGCCGCGUGGAUGAUGAAGGCCCUCGGGUUGUAAAAUCCUUUUCAGGGGGACGAGGAAGGACGGUACCCUUGGAAUAAGCGUCGGCUAACUACGUGCCAGCAGCCGCGGUAAGACGUAGGACGCGAGCGUUAUCCGGAUUUACUGGGCGUAAAGCGUCUGUAGGCGGACUUGUAAGUUGGGCGUGAAAGCUCCGGGCUCAACCCGGAGAGGACGUUCAAUACUGCAAGACUAGAGGUCAUCAGAGGGGCGUGGAAUUUCCGGUGUAGCGGUAAAAUGCGCAGAUAUCGGAAGGAACACCAGUGGCGAAGGCGGCGCCCUGGGGUGGACCUAACGCUAAGAGACGAAAGCUAGGGGAGCGAACAGGAUUAGAGACCCUGGUAGUCCUAGCCCUAAACGAUGGAUGCUAGGUGUGGGACCGACAGGUUCCGUGCCGGAGUUAACGCGCUAAGCAUCCCGCCUGGGGAGUACGGCCGCAAGGCUAAAACUCAAACGAAUUGACGGGGCCCCGCACAAGCAGCGGAGCGUGUGGUUUAAUUCGAUUUUACACGAAGAACCUUACCUGGGUUUGACAUAUGCGUGGUAGGGAAGCGAAAGCGGACCGACCCUUCGGGGAGCGCAUACAGGUGCUGCAUGGCUGUCGUCAGCUCGUGCCGUGAGGUGUCGGGUUAAGUCCCGUAACGAGCGCAACCCUUGCCCUUAGUUAUAGGUGUCUAAGGGGACUGCCGGCGGUAAGCCGGAGGAAGGUGGGGAUGACGUCAAGUCAGCAUGGCCCUUAUAUCCAGGGCUACACACACGCUACAAUGGUCAGUACAAAGGGCAGCGAAGCCGCGAGGUGGAGCGAAUCUCAACAAAGCUGAUCGUAGUUCGGAUUGCAGGCUGCAACUCGCCUGCAUGAAGCUGGAGUUGCUAGUAACCGCGCGUCAGCUAUAGUGCGGUGAAUACGUUCCCGGGGCUUGUACACACCGCCCGUCACGUCAUGGGAGUCGGUAACGCCUGAAGCUGGUAGUCUAGCUCGCAAGAGGGGACGCCAUCGAAGGCGGGGCUGGCGACUGGGACGAAGUCGUAACAAGGUA